AAUCCCGGGGUGACGUCACAUGCAAACCAACAAUUCGGAAUGAAAGAGCUCGUGUGGAGUACGCCAGAGAGAAUCAGAGAGCCUUACCAGUAGAGGGGGAACCCACACUUCCUUUUCCUCGUGUAGAGGAAAGCGCAAGACAACAUUGUACAUGUAACAAUACAACCUACGGCGGAUUACAAGCGAUACGACGACAGCCACAAAUGCAUGACGAACGUUUUAGGAGGCAACAGCUACAGUUUACCACUGAAGACGCAGUGGACUUGCCUGAGUAGGCUUACUAAGAUUUCCACAAAUUUUCCGCGUUCCUGUGGUGAACUGGCUUUCUCCAGGGAAAGUGAAUGACAUUGUGUCGAUGGACAACAGUGAUAUAUUUUUUUAAUAUGAAAAACGGCCUAUACUUUAUACUUAAUACUCAUGCAUAUACUUUACAAUUGAAACUGUGUUUAAAAUGGCCGAUUUGAGAAAAAAGUCUGUGUACAAAUAAAACUAGAUGGCCCUAAAAACAGUAA
rnacentral:misc_RNA from 1 species